rnacentral:rRNA from 1 species
UAGGGAAUCUUCCGCAAUGGGCGAAAGCCUGACGGAGCAACGCCGCGUGAGUGAUGAAGGUCUUCGGAUCGUAAAACUCUGUUAUUAGGGAAGAACAAAUGUGUAAGUAACUAUGCACGUCUUGACGGUACCUAAUCAGAAAGCCACGGCUAACUACGUGCCAGCAGCCGCGGUAAUACGUAGGUGGCAAGCGUUAUCCGGAAUUAUUGGGCGUAAAGCGCGCGUAGGCGGUUUUUUAAGUCUGAUGUGAAAGCCCACGGCUCAACCGUGGAGGGUCAUUGGAAACUGGAAAACUUGAGUGCAGAAGAGGAAAGUGGAAGUCCAUGUGUAGCGGUGAAAUGCGCAGAGAUAUGGAGGAAAACCAGUGGCGAAGGCGACGUUCUGGUCUGUAACUGACGCUGAUGUGCGAAAGCGUGGGGAUCAAACAGG